GCCUGUUUUGAGUUCUUUUUAAGUCCAAAAAUCUGACUUUUCUUCUUCUUCUUCAAUCGUUUCCCAAUUUCCUCCUAAUUUGGUUUCCCCCUUGAGGUUAAAACUCCUCUUCUAUUCGAACUCUUCUCUGUUCUUCGUAAAAGGGAUUUUCCUCAAGUUCUUCUCCCCUCCACUUCUUCAAUUCUGACGAGGUUAAGGGACUUCAACCUAGGGUUCGAACCAGAAUUCAAGUUCGAGCUCUUAACCGUGGCCGAAUUCAUCCACCUUUGAUUCCAGGGUUCGAAAUUUGUUUCUUAGGAGUUUAGAAAUUGCUCAAGCUUCACCUCUUUGAUCGAGGUAAACCCAUGCCUCAUGUCUCAAAAAAAUUAGUCAUGUCUCCAAAGAGGUUACGUGUCCCGAGGGGUCGUUCGGCGACUCAAUCGCCUGAGCCAGCACCUUUUACUUGCAUAGGUAAUUCGGAGUACCAGAGAGUCGUAGGAUGACGGAGUUCUUGUAUAAUCACCAUCACAUGAGAUUUAUUAGAGGCACCACCGUAGUUUUAUAUUUU